AGGAGCGCAAACUCGAUGCUUCUGAAGUGGAAAAGACAAAAAAAAAAUAUCGUUCCCAAAAGAGAUGAAGAUCUUCUUAAGGGGUGACAUGUAACUCAGGGAGCCCAAAGUUUAUCAGCUCGCUUCUCGCCAUGGAGAAGUCACCAUUUAGUGGUUUUGGAUGUGUAACCGAUCUGGAACAUUAGGUUUUUGGCUAAUAAAACUAAGUUAUAGAAUACAGCUCUCGUAGUGUUAAUUCAAUCGCUAAUUUGAUUCAAUUUAUUUUAAUACACACGCUAAUAGCUGUUUAAAAACUGUGAUAGGUUUAAACAAAAAGUUGUAGUUCAUAAUGUUUAGAAGAAUUACAUUUUACCCCUGUAAAUAUAUCACAAAUGCUUUUUAUUGAAUAAAUAUCAUCUAAAAUAUGAUAGUAAA
rnacentral:sRNA from 1 species